AGAGUUUGAUCCUGGCUCAGAACGAACGCUGGCGGCAUGCCUAACACAUGCAAGUCGAACGAGACCUUCGGGUCUAGUGGCGCACGGGUGCGUAACACGUGGGAAUCUGCCCUUGGGUUCGGAAUAACAGUUGGAAACGACUGCUAAUACCGGAUGAUGACGUAAGUCCAAAGAUUUAUCGCCCAAGGAUGAGCCCGCGUCGGAUUAGCUAGUUGGUGGGGUAAAGGCCUACCAAGGCGACGAUCCGUAGCUGGUCUGAGAGGAUGAUCAGCCACACUGGGACUGAGACACGGCCCAGACUCCUACGGGAGGCAGCAGUGGGGAAUAUUGGACAAUGGGCGAAAGCCUGAUCCAGCAAUGCCGCGUGAGUGAUGAAGGCCUUAGGGUUGUAAAGCUCUUUUACCCGGGAUGAUAAUGACAGUACCGGGAGAAUAAGCCCCGGCUAACUCCGUGCCAGCAGCCGCGGUAAUACGGAGGGGGCUAGCGUUGUUCGGAAUUACUGGGCGUAAAGCGUACGUAGGCGGCUUUGUAAGUAAGAGGUGAAAGCCUGGAGCUCAACUCCAGAACUGCCUUUUAGACUGCAUCGCUUGAAUCCAGGAGAGGUGAGUGGAAUUCCGAGUGUAGAGGUGAAAUUCGUAGAUAUUCGGAAGAACACCAGUGGCGAAGGCGGCUCACUGGACUGGUAUUGACGCUGAGGUACGAAAGCGUGGGGAGCAAACAGGAUUAGAUACCCNNGUAGUCC
rnacentral:rRNA from 1 species